rnacentral:rRNA from 1 species
UACGUAGGGUGCGAGCGUUAAUCGGAAUUACUGGGCGUAAAGCGCGUGUAGGCGGCCUCGCAAGUCGGGUGUGAAAGCCCUGGGCUCAACCCAGGAAGUGCACUCGAUACUGCAAGGCUUGAGUUCCGGAGAGGAAAGCGGAAUUCUCGGUGUAGAGGUGAAAUUCGUAGAUAUCGAGAGGAACACCGGUGGCGAAGGCGGCUUUCUGGACGGCGACUGACGCUGAGACGCGAAAGCGUGGGGAGCAAACAGG